UGUCCAGUAACUCCUAUCCUUACCUCCCCGUGGUGCCUGGGGUACGAGUAACCGUAAGGAAGAUGCUGACAGGGAAGG
rnacentral:ribozyme from 1 species